CCCUGACUCUUCAAAGCCCAAUAAAAUACGAAUAUAAAGGGAUUAUCCUUGAACAGGAAGAACUUAUAGACUGCGGUAUCAAUUAAAUUGAGAGAAGUGCAGUGAAUACUGAACUGGAGGCUGACCAACCUUUAAUUGCUGCUUUUCAGGUCGGGGUGGAAGAAGCUGUUGGAAUAACUGCGUUCCAGAUUGAGAUGGUCGGGAUGCGUGAGUCAGAACUGCUGAGCCUGUGGAGAGAGUUGCAGGGGCCAGAGAAGAAACUGAUAUCUCGAUUGCAGGAGGCUGAAGAGGCUGCAGGAGCAGUGCAGGCCACGUGUUUCCGUUUGGAGAAGAUCAAACAGCAGCUACCGAUCGCAGAAAUGAGGAAGAAUAAGGAUUCUAUGUGCUGGAUGUGUGUUAGACCUGUGGUGAGAGGUUAAUUGGAAGAAAAAAACCUAACUGGAAGCCAACCACGCCUGAAGACGAGGGAACAGCAACAAGUGAACCAGCCCGAGGACUGAAAGCAUAAACUGGAGAGAACAACUCUGAAUCAACUGACUCGGAGUUCUCAUUGAUUCAGCUGUGCAGUCCAACCAUUCACCUCAGAAGGAUUUUUUUAUAUGGCGUUAAAAUUGUGGAACGUUAAGUUAAUAAUACGUAAAAGAAAAUCCCAGAUGCACGUCAAGAAAGACUAUUUGUGUGAGACUGUUUCAGUUACUGUGGGGCCAGUCACCCAUGCAGCUCAGCAGGAACAGGGAAUCAUACCAAUGGAGAGAGUCAAACUGAGCCAAGGCACAGAUUGGAGACGGCAGAAAUGCCCCAGUCUUAUUUAAGACAGGAAGAUCAUCAGGGAAUUAAUGGUCAUUCCAGACACCAGCACUCUGCCCAGUCAGGAGAUGAUUUCUCUGUCCAACUCGGGUUCAACCUCAUUGUAACAGUGAGGAACAGCCAGAUCAAAAAUUGGCGACUCAAGUAAUCUCAUCUGAAAUGUUGUCCUACAGCCAUUGAUGGACGUUGUAAAUCAUUUUACAGGUUAAAAACGAGAAGGAAUUUGUCUCCAGGAAUCUCAAACACAGCCCGCCAGUUUUGCUGUCUCUGUCCAGAUAUUUAAGAAGUGGAGCGAGGGAUUCAAUCGACCAUCCUUCCUGCUCAGACUGUGGGGAGGGAUUUAUUCGGUCAUCCUUCCUGCUCAGAAUGAGGGAAGAGAUUCACUCGGUGAUCCGACCUACAGAGACACCAUCGAGUUCACACUGGGGAGAAGCCGUUCACCUGCUCAGUCUGUCGGAAGAGAUACACUGAUUCAUCCAGUCUACAGAGACAUCAGCGAGUUCACACUGGGGAGAAGCCAUUCACUUGUUCAGAAUGUGGGAAGCGAUUCACUCAAUCUUUCACCCUACGGAUACAUCAGCGUGUUCACAACGGGGAGAAGCCAUUCACUUGCUCAGUCUGUGGGAAGGGAUUCACUCAGUCAUCCCACUUACAGAGUCACUUGCGAGUUCACACUGGGGAGAAGCCAUUCACUUGCUCAGUCUGUGGGAAGAGAUUCACUCAGUCAUCCCACUCACAGAGUCACUUGCGAGUUCACACUGGGGAGAAGCCGUUCACCUGCUCAGAAUGUGGGAAGGGAUUCACUCAGUCAUCCCACCUCUUGGCACACCAGUCAGUUCACAGUAGGGAGAGGCCAUUGUUAUGAUUCCUUCGGUUUUGUUUGCUGUAGACUGUCAUUUUAAGAGAGAGAGAGAGAUUAAGAAGGAGAAUCAGUCUGACUUGCAGCUUGUUUACAUCGCGUGCAGCUUGUUUAGUUUUAACCGAGGACACAGACACUCAGAGUCAGACAGAGACGAAGGAGAAAAAAUGGAAGGAUCAAAACUAGGGAACUACUGACCAAGGGUCACUGAUUGCAACUUUCCUAUGCCCACAAGGAUGGGUUAAUUAUCGAUUCAUCGUACAUCGAAUGUGAGGUUGUUACCUCUUUUGAUCCGUAGGAGUAGAUCUGAUUUGGGGUAUCAUGUGAAGACCACUGAUGUGUUAACCCUUGCUUGGGUGUGGUGUGGUUAUUCACUUGAAGACGAUACCCCUUGUGACAAGACACUUUCGGUGAUAAUUCGUAUGUGGUUUUGGAACGACGACGGAUAAAACCUACAGCAAAUGUUGUCUUGUUUUACCAGCAUGGAACCUGUGGAAUUCGACAUAAUUGCCUUCCCUUGACAUUUAUCCUGGAUUUCAAAUAUCUCUCUCAUCACCUAUUCCGUGGAUGAACUGAACUUUCAUACUUUACCAUCGCAAGACUCCAAUGCUUGUUUCCCCCGAGCUCAAUAGAUUGGGAGUUUUAUUUACACACAUAUAUACACAUAACACUGUUAGCUUUUGCUUGUCUUGUUUAAAUUACUAUUUUACGAGUAGAUUCUA